GACGAACGCUGGCGGCGUGCCUAAUACAUGCAAGUCGAACGAGAGCAACCGGUGCUUGCACUGGUCAAUCUAGUGGCGAACGGGUGAGUAACACGUGGGUAACCUGCCCAUCAGAGGGGGAUAACAUCCGGAAACGGAUGCUAAAACCGCAUAGGUCUUCGAACCGCAUGGUUUGAAGAGGAAAAGAGGCGCAAGCUUCUGCUGAUGGAUGGACCCGCGGUGCAUUAGCUAGUUGGUGAGGUAACGGCUCACCAAGGCCGUGAUGCAUAGCCGACCUGAGAGGGUGAUCGGCCACAUUGGGACUGAGACACGGCCCAAACUCCUACGGGAGGCAGCAGUAGGGAAUCUUCCGCAAUGGACGCAAGUCUGACGGAGCAACGCCGCGUGAGUGAAGAAGGUUUUCGGAUCGUAAAACUCUGUUGUUAGAGAAGAACAAGUGCUAGAGUAACUGUUAGCGCCUUGACG
rnacentral:rRNA from 1 species